GCCGUACAUAUAACAUAUGAUACAUGUUCAUGAAACCAUAAAACUUGUUUCAUAUUUAAGCAAUGAAAGAAAAACCGCCCAAAGAUAGUCUUUGAAUUUUUUUUAUUUAUUUUUUAUUAUUAUUUUUUUUUUUUUAUGUCGGGGAACCUCUCCAAGGCAGGGCCCUUCGGACCCACCUCUGCAGAGUAAACUCCGGUCUCGUGCACCGCGCUUUCAAAAGUUUCCCUACACGAAAUUAGUUAAAUCGUUGGCUUUUCACUAGGGGGCGUGGCCCCAAAGGAUUGUUUGCACCCAUGAGGUGUUGAACCUUGGACCUUGAAGGGAGUAAUACCCAAGACCAAGG